UAUCGGUCGAACAGGGUCUGGCGUGCGAU
rnacentral:sRNA from 1 species